CAGUAGCCGCGGUAAUACGUAGGGUGCGAGCGUUAAUCGGAAUUACUGGGCGUAAAGCGUGCGCAGGCGGUUCUGUAAGACAGGCGUGAAAUCCCCGGGCUCAACCUGGGAAUGGCGCUUGUGACUGCAAAGCUAGAGUGCGGCAGAGGGGGAUGGAAUUCCGCGUGUAGCAGUGAAAUGCGUAGAUAUGCGGAGGAACACCGAUGGCGAAGGCAAUCCCCUGGGCCUGCACUGACGCUCAUGCACGAAAGCGUGGGGAGCAAACAGGAUUAGAUACCCCGGUAGUCCCUGUCUCUUAUAC
rnacentral:rRNA from 1 species